UUGACCUCAAAUCAGGUAGGACUACCCGCUGAACUUAAGCAUAUCAAUAAGCGGAGGAAAAGAAACUAACAAGGAUUCCCCUAGUAACUGCGAGUGAAGAGGGAAAAGCUCAAAUUUAAAAUCUGGCGGUUCUUGCAGCCGUCCGAGUUGUAAUUUAGAGAAGUGUUAUCCGCGCUGGACCGUGUACAAGUCUCCUGGAAUGGAGCGUCAUAGAGGGUGAGAAUCCCGUCUUUGACACGGACUACCANGGCUUUGUGAUGCGCUCUCGAAGAGUCGAGUUGUUUGGGAAUGCAGCUCAAAAUGGGUGGUAAAUUCCAUCUAAAGCUAAAUAUUGGCGAGAGACCGAUAGCGAACAAGUACCGUGAGGGAAAGAUGAAAAGAACUUUGGAAAGAGAGUUAAACAGUACGUGAAAUUGUGAAAGGGAAACGCUUGAAGUCAGUCGCGUUGGCUGGGGAUCAACCUUGCUUUUUGCUUGGCGUACUUCUCAGUUGAUGGGUCAGCAUCAGUUUUGACCGCUGGAUAAAGAUUGAGGGAAUGUGGCAUCCUCGGAUGUGUUAUAGCCCUUAGUUGUAUACAGCGGUUGGGACUGAGGAACUCAGCA
rnacentral:rRNA from 1 species